rnacentral:rRNA from 1 species
AUUGAACGCUGGCGGCAUGCUUUACACAUGCAAGUCGGACGAGUGGCGAACGGGUGAGUAACGCAUCGGAACGUACCGAGUAAAGGGGGAUAACUCUACGAAAGGAUAGCUAAUACCGCAUAUUAUGCGCACAGCCGAGGUCUGCGUAGCUGGUUGGCGUGGUAAAGGCCCACCAAGGCGACGAUCAGAAGCGGGUCUGAGAGGGUGAUCCUCCACACGUGGACUGAGCCACGGCCCAGACUCCUACGGGAGGCAGUAGUGGGGAAUUUUGGACAAUGGGCGCAAGCCUGAUCCAGCCAUGCCGCGUGUCUGAAGAAGGCCUUCGGGUUGUAAAGGACUUUUGUCAGGGAAGCGGUACCUGAAGAAUAAUCACCGGCUAACUACGUGCCAGCAGCCGCGGUAAUUC